UCCUAUCCUGCAUUGAAUGCUACUUGUUGAAGCUGACGCCAAGCAAAUGCAUGUGAAGCAUAUGUUCUUUCAUCUUUUUUUCCCCUGGAAGAUAAACCGAUGCUAGCUUGCCAUAUUUUUUCUUUUUUUUUUUGAUUGAAGCAGGCUGGGCCUGUGUGAAUCUAAUCCUCAAUGGAUCCACUAUAAUUUUUUGUUGUUGUUUUCAUCCCUCAUCAGAACAGCCACAAAGCGGACAGCCUGAAUUGGAUACCUGUUCUUCUUCCACCCUUUUUUUUUUGGGUUAUAGGAAGCAUCGCACCACCACAUCCAUUCACUACCAGUAGUCCAGCUGCAAAAAGAGGUUGUGGAUAUUCAGAUGACUGACAUGUGUUCUUUUGGUCAUCCAUUUUUUUGUUUUUCCUUUGAUUACCGGAAAGCUCACGCCACCACAUCCAUCCCCUGAUUUUUUUUCUUUGGGUUAGCCGCCCGGCCACAAAGCAGGCAACCCAGAUUGCGAACAUAUGAUCUUCAUCGAUCAUAAACAUGUGGCAUAUCGAAAUUGCGAUGCUUGUCACUUUGGG
rnacentral:lncRNA from 1 species